rnacentral:rRNA from 1 species
CCUACGGGUGGCAGCAGUGAGGAAUAUUGGUCAAUGGGCGCGAGCCUGAACCAGCCAAGUCGCGUGAGGGAAGACGGUCCUAUGGAUUGUAAACCUCUUUUGUCGGGGAGCAAAAGACGCCACGCGUGGCGUUCCGCGAGUACCCGAAGAAAAAGCAUCGGCUAACUCCGUGCCAGCAGCCGCGGUAAUACGGAGGAUGCGAGCGUUAUCCGGAUUUAUUGGGUUUAAAGGGUGCGUAGGGGGAAGAUCAAGUCAGCGGUAAAAUUGAGGGGCUCAACCUCUUCGAGCCGUUGAAACUGGUUGUCUUGAGUGAGUGAGAAGUAUGCGGAAUGCGUGGUGUAGCGGUGAAAUGCAUAGAUAUCACGCAGAACUCCGAUUGCGAAGGCAGCAUACCGGCGCGCAACUGACGCUGAUGCACGAAAGUGUGGGUAUCGAACAGGAUUAGAUACCCCGGUAGUC